rnacentral:rRNA from 1 species
AACGAACGCUGGCGGCAGGCUUAACACAUGCAAGUCGAGCGCCCCGCAUGGGGAGCGGCAGACGGGUGAGUAACGCGAGGGAACGUACCCUUUGCUACGGAAUAGCUCCGGGAACCUGGAAUCAUUACCGUAUGUGCACUACGUGGGAAAGAUUUCUCGGCAAAGGAUCGGCCCGCGUUGGAUUAGCUAGUUGGUGGGUAAUGGCCUACCAAGGCGACGAUCCAUAGCUGGUCUGAGAGGAUGAUCAGCCACAUGGGGACUGAGACACGGCCCAAACUCCUACGGGAGGCAGCAGUGGGGAAUAUUGGACAAUGGGCGCAAGCCUGAUCCAGCCAUGCCGCGUGAGUGAUGAAGGCCUUAGGGUUGUAAAGCUCUUUCACCGGAGAAGAUAAUGACGGUAUCCGGAGAAGAAGCCCCGGGUAACUUCGUGCCAGCCGCCGCCGUAAUAC